rnacentral:lncRNA from 1 species
CAGCACGGAAAAAUCCUGAUGCCCCUUCUAGCUAGCACGCUCCUGGUAGGAAGGCAUCCAUCCCCAAGCUAUCUUUUAAAGAAACAAGACCACCCGAGGAUGAACCCGCAAUAUCCAAAUCCAUCUGCCCUCCAAUUGCUGAUCAGUACCUCCUCCUAACAUCCCCUGAAUGUCUCGGCACACACCUUGGACCUACUAGUGGC